GACGAACGCUGGCGGCGUGCUUAACACAUGCAAGUCGAACGGAAAGGCCCUGCUUGCAGGGUACUCGAGUGGCGAACGGGUGAGUAACACGUGGGUGAUCUGCCCUGCACUUCGGGAUAAGCCUGGGAAACUGGGUCUAAUACCGGAUAGGAGCCAUUUUUAGUGUGAUGGUUGGAAAGUUUUUUCGGUGUAGGAUGAGCUCGCGGCCUAUCAGCUUGUUGGUGGGGUAAUGGCCUACCAAGGCGGCGACGGGUAGCCGGCCCGAGGGGGUGGACGGCCACAUUGGGACUGAGAUACGGCCCAGACUCCUACGGGAGGCAGCAGUGGGGAAUAUUGCACAAUGGGCGCAGGCCUGAUGCAGCGACGCCGCGUGGGGGAUGACGGCCUUCGGGUUGUAAACUCCUUUCGCUAGGGACGAAGCUUUUUGUGACGGUACCUAGAUAAGAAGCACCGGCUAACUACGUG
rnacentral:rRNA from 1 species